rnacentral:rRNA from 1 species
GAUGAACGCUGGCGGCGUGCCUAAUACAUGCAAGUCAAGCGAACAGACGAGGAGCUUGCUUCUCUGACGUUAGCGGCGGACGGGUGAGUAACACGUGGAUAACCUACCUAUAAGACUGGGAUAACUUCGGGAAACCGGAGCUAAUACCGGAUAAUAUAUUGAACCGCAUGGUUCAAUAGUGAAAGACGGUUUUGCUGUCACUUAUAGAUGGAUCCGCGCCGCAUUAGCUAGUUGGUAAGGUAACGGCUUACCAAGGCAACGAUGCGUAGCCGACCUGAGAGGGUGAUCGGCCACACUGGAACUGAGACACGGUCCAGACUCCUACGGGAGGCAGCAGUAGGGAAUCUUCCGCAAUGGGCGAAAGCCUGACGGAGCAACGCCGCGUGAGUGAUGAAGGUCUUCGGAUCGUAAAACUCUGUUAUUAGGGAAGAACAAAUGUGUAAGUAACUAUGCACGUCUUGACGGUACCUAAUCAGAAAGCCACGGCUAACUACGUG